rnacentral:lncRNA from 1 species
GGAUACUUAAUAUGAGAUCUUCAACAAAAUAAAGUAGAAAAUUACUAAGGGAUACCUAAUAUGAGAUCUUCAACAAAAUAAAGUAAGAAAUUGCUAAUCGUAUGGAUUGCUAAUCUUAAUUGUCAUGCUUUUGCGAUUUCUUCCUCACCCUUGAGCUUUUCCACGAAAUUGCAGCAAUGUAGUUUACCAAUGAAACUUCCCU